rnacentral:rRNA from 1 species
GAUCCUGGCUUAGGAUGAACGCUGGCGGCGUGCCUAAUACAUGCAAGUCGAGCGAGGGUAGCAAUACCCGAGCGGCGAAUGGGUGAGUAACACGUAGGUAACCUGCCUUGAGACUGGGAUACCCGGACGAAAGUUCGGCUAAUACCGGAUAACAACGGGGACGGCAUCGUCUCCGCUUGAAAGGUGCGUUUGCACCACUCUUAGAUGGACCUGCGGCACAUUAGCUAGUUGGUGAGGUAACGGCCCACCAAGGCGAAGAUGUGUAGCCGACCUGAGAGGGUGAACGGCCACAAUGGAACUGAGACACGGUCCAUACUCCUACGGGAGGCAGCAGUAGGGAGUUUUCGGCAAUGGGGGAAACCCUGACCGAGCAACGCCGCGUGAGUGAGAAGGUCUUCGGAUUGUAAAGCUCUGUUACGAGGGACGAAUGACGAGUUCAGGAAAUGGGAUUCGUUUGACGGUACCUCGCCAGAAAGUGACGGCUAACUACGUGCCAGCAGCCGC